rnacentral:rRNA from 1 species
UACGGAGGGGACUAGCGUUGUUCGGAAUUACUGGGCGUAAAGCGCACGUAGGCGGAUCUUUAAGUCAGGGGUGAAAUCCUGGAGCUCAACUCCAGAACUGCCUUUGAUACUGGGGAUCUCGAGUCCGGAAGAGGUGAGUGGAACUCCGAGUGUAGAGGUGAAAUUCGUAGAUAUUCGGAAGAACACCAGUGGCGAAGGCGGCUCACUGGUCCGGUACUGACGCUGAGACGCGAAAGCGUGGGGAGCAAACAGG